GUGUACUUAGCUCAAUGGUUAGAGCAUCACUCAUGAAUGCUGAGGUUGUGGGUUUGAGUACCACCGUACACA
rnacentral:tRNA from 1 species